GACGAACCGUGCGAACGUUGUUCGGAAUCACUGGGCCUAAAGGGCGCGUAGGCGGGCGACCAAGUCAGGGGUGAAAUCCUCCGGCUCAACCGGAGAACAGCCUUUGAUACUGGUCACCUCGAGGGAGGUAGGGGCAUGUGGAACUUCCGGUGGAGCGGUGAAAUGCGUAGAUAUCGGAAGGAACGCCGGUGGCGAAAGCGACGUGCUGGACCUCUUCUGACGCUGAGGCGCGAAAGCUAGGGGAGCAAACGGG
rnacentral:rRNA from 1 species